rnacentral:rRNA from 1 species
UACAGAGGUCUCAAGCGUUGUUCGGAUUCAUUGGGCGUAAAGGGUGCGUAGGUGGCGAGGCAAGUCGGAUGUGAAAUCCCGGGGCUCAACCCCGGAACUGCAUUCGAUACUGCUUUGCUAGAGUACUGGAGAGGAGAUUGGAAUUUACGGUGUAGCAGUGAAAUGCGCAGAUAUCAGGAAGAAUAUCCGUGGCGAAGGCGGCUCUCUGGGACGGUACUGACGCUGAGACGCGAAAGCGUGGGGAGCGAACAGG